rnacentral:rRNA from 1 species
AACCCUCGUCGCUAGUUGAUUUCUCUAGCGAGACUGCCCGCAAACGGGAGGAAGGUGGGAGUGACGUCAAGUCAGCAUGGCCUUUAUAUCUUGGCGUACACACACGCUACAAUGGAUGGCACAAUAGGUUGCAACAGCGCGAGCUGAAGCUAAUCCCCAAAGCCAUCCUCAGUACAGAUUGCAGGCUGAAACCCGCCUGCAUGAAGUCGGAGUUGCUAGUAACCGCAAAUCAGCAUGUUGCGGUGAAUACGUUCUCGGGCCUU